ensembl:lincRNA 9030622O22Rik RIKEN cDNA 9030622O22 gene
GUCUUCAGUGAGAGGAGGGCAGCUGCUCUGACAGGUGAGGUGUAUCUUAGACAACCCAAACAUACUCUGAGGACAGCAGUUCAGAGAUGGAGAGGAAAGCUUUGGGGCACAGAAAGAGAAACGGUGGCUCAACUGUCGAGUAUAUAGUUUCUCACCAGCAUCUGUGAACCUGAUGGCCUCCUAAGUGGCUCCUUCUGGAAUAUUCCCUCACUGGAUACCAUGUACCCUCUGACUCUCUUGAAUCGUUUGUUCCAAAGCACUUUUAAAUGAAGGUGCCUUCAAGCUCCUGUGGAUCGUAAAGAUCUGAACGAGCUGGGACAAAGAUAUUAAGCUGAUACCACUCAGGCCUGAGGGGAUAGCUUACAUGUAUGGGAACCUUUUACUCCUUUGGGACAUUGAACAUAAGUGGUGUGGAAUAAUGUUAAGCUUCUCUGAUGGGUCCUAAAUGGUUGAAGAACACCCCUCAAGAGAUGGGAAGAUUCUAAGAGCCAGAGAGAAUGGAUUACUCCAAGGCAACACAAUGGGACUGAUGACCACAUGAACUCUUAGAGACUGUAGCAGCUUGCACCAGGCCUGUACAGGUUCAAGCCAGAUGGGGUUCCAGCACGGAGAGGGGAAUUGGACAUGGACGUCUACUCCUUACUAAGAAGCUCUCUGCAACUGAUACCGACUUGCAAAGGAAAAUAGUUUUCUCCAAUGAAGUACCACUGAGUAUAUUAACCAUACUUCAAGGUAUGUGGAGCCUGACUGUGAAACUCACAUAAGACCUAUGCAACCAUGAGUAACUCCACUUCUGGAUAAUCCAGUGCCUUCUUUCUGACCGCCACAGGCAUGAGGUAGUGUGCAUUUUCUCCUGAACUGCCACCUAAUGUGCACACAUGGCUCAGUCUUCUGCAAACUUUUGGCCAAGGGAGAAAGCUCAGAGCUUGGCUGAUAUGCUGGACUCCCCAAAGUCUCCAGGUCUCCAGGGACAGUGCCUGUAACUUACCUGAAGAGGAACUGGUAGACAAGUCAUCUGAAAACAACUGAGGAAUCCUGCCCUGACCUAUCAGCUGUCUGCUGCCUCCCAACUCUUGCAGCCUUGGGAGAGGCACAUUCACUUGGAAAUGUGAUGAACAGGUGUCCAUUUACUUUGGAUUCAGGCCAAAGAGUCAAGCCAAUGUCAUUUGUAAGGCACAAUCAUUUUAAGUUCAGACCCAUGAAGAUCUUUUCUUGUACUUUUGUCUGAAUUAGAGAAACAACUUAA